CCGCGCGCGCGCGCGCCCGUCCGCUCCCACCACCCAGCAGGAAGUGACCUGUCACCGGAAGUGCCUCUCAGGGCAGCGUGGUCCCCCGCUCAGGGCCGCCUCUGGGAUACCAGCUGUAGUCACAGACCGAAAGAAAUCGAUGGCAAGAAGGGGACCAGAGGAGGGGGCACUCGGGACAGAAACACUUGAAAAGAGAACGUUGCUGUCGCCCGGCCGCUGCGCACCAUGGGAAAGGCACAGUGGCUGCACCUUAAUCUGCUGCUAUUUCAGCCAACAACUGGGACUCUGAAGUUAGCGGCCUACUACUCUGGCAGUGACCAGGCCACUCAGGCCACAGCCGGGCAGAAAUUCUGUUCCCACGUGUACUGGCUCUAUCACUGCUGCUAAAGUUAGCUUUAACUAAAUCUGUAUCAUUCUAUUUAUGAAUAAGACUUGAGAGUCAAAGGCUGGGGUGAAAACCUGCUAGCUCAGAGGGGUUGAGUAGCAACUAGCUAACCUUCUCUCCUUGCUGGCAUCCGCCAAAAAACCUUGUCCUUUUGCACUUAAAAAAAAAAAAAAAAAA